rnacentral:lncRNA from 1 species
AGUAUACUUUGAGAUUUCCUCAGAGUACACGUCUAUAACUACAGAGCGAUAGUAGUGUUGGAAUCUGAGUAUAAUGGGUAACUGUUGUGAUACCCGAGUCCUACCUCAAGAAUGUACUGACACACCCUUCUCAACUGAUGACCGUCCUCGGACAAAAUCCUCACUGACCGUGGGCUCCAGAAAACGCCGGAACAUAUUUACAAUCGUAAGAAAUAUCCACCACAAGAAUCCUGUUGUUCCCAUGGAAGCUGAAGAACAUCAAGCCCCAACUUCCUCAUCUAUACAAAAACCACAAAAUGAAACAAAAGCUAAACAUGGUGACGGUACAACUUCAGAAGAGGACGAGGAAAAGUCACCACUGCGUAGGGUUAAGGUAGCUUCUAAAAGAAGCCAACAUAGGAUUCCGUUCUUGAGAAACAAGUGUCGGAGGGGCAGUCUCCUCCCAAUGGAUGCUCAAGAAUGUGACUUUAUAGAUACAAGUUGUGAAGGAAAACCACAAAACAACCUAGAAGUGGUAGCUGAAUGCUCUGAUGGUGCAGCUUUGCCAGUGGACAAGGGGAAAGGACCAGUGAAAAUGGCAGAGGCAACAUCGAAAAAACGAAGAUGUGUUUCUGCAAUCUUAAAGAAAUUUUCUCGAAGGCGAGUGGUGGCCCCCAUUAAACUGAGAAGACCUGUAGUCCUCCCUGGCACCUCCAAAGAAACAGCACCUGUCACAACAGAAGUGGUCCCUGAAAAUGCUGACAGUGCACCUUCAGCAAGGGGACAGAAAGAGCCACCAGUAGGGAUGGUGAAGGAGGAGACUAAAAAACGUAGACACAGUAUGUAUUAUAGAAUCUCUUAAGAUACAUUUUAGAAAGGAAUUGCAUAAACACUGGAUAUCCUUUUGUGAAGUGUAUAAUGGUGCUCUAGCUCACCUACUAGGAAGAACUUGUAUUCAAUUGUUUGUAUGACUUCUUUGUUUGUUUUGUUUGUUUGUUAGUGUUCAUUUUUUUUCUUAAGUAUUACCUUAACUUAAAAGAAAAACUGGAGGUGUUUGUCUACCAUAACUGGAUUCAAGUAUGAUCUCUCUAAGUUGUUUAAGAUGUGGUAUACUAGGCAGUGUCUAAAUCUGUUUUCCCUCAAGAUAGGUACCCUAAUUACCCAGUUCAAUCUCCAUUGACAAAGUAUUGAAGUAACAAAUUAGAGUACAGAGUUUACCUACAAAAUAUGAGUUGAAAGUUCAUCACAUGUGGUGCAUUCAUUUCUUUAUGGUGGUAGUCUAGUGAAGAAUAAGCCAGGGCACAAAGGUGAGUGAUGAGGCUCUCCAUGCAGAUCAACAGACACUUUGUGGACCAAGGACUUAGUGAUGCCUAUAUUCCCAGCAUCUUCCUUCAGUAGGUCAAAAUCACAGAGAUCCCAGACUCUGCCUUGACUACCUCAGUGGGCAGAGCCAGGACAUUGCUCUCCAUCUGCCUGCACACAUGCAUCCACAAGCAUGAGAGGUAGAAAUCCCACACACUUUUAGGCAGACCACAGAUUCUGACACUGGGAGCCCAACACUGUAUGAAGGGACAUUUUGUCACCUACAAUGACACCAAGCUGCCUUUCCAGUCUCCUCCAUUUGAGGGUCUAUCUAGGUGUGACCAGAUAAAGAAGCUGCCAUUUGCACACCUUCAUGUGAGAACGGGGUUGCACUGACGUGGAGUCUGAGUCAUCAGUGGGGCUCUGCAGGCUUUGAUGCCCUCCCGAUUCUGUUCCUCAGUGACCAGACUCAGUCACUGAGAGCCAGGUCACAGUGUGAGGAUGAUGGAGGAAGGCCCUGUUCACUGACCCAGGAAUCCCACAACUUCUUUUGGGUUGAAAGGUAGAUUAUACCUUCAGUUGUAUCUGUCAGGGAAGAUGGCCACUGAUGCAUGAAUGCAGCUAUCAUUGUAAGCUUGGGUGAAAAGUCAGAGGGCCUCACAGCUUGUUACCUCUACAUCCCACUAAGGCAAUGCCAUACAUUUCCCAUGAGAUGUAGUCGAUAAGAAUGAAGAAUAAACAAGUGUUGUACAAUGUUCUGGAAUACAUGCAUUCCUGAGUCCAGGUGCAGUUACUCCUAUGCAGCUGAGGUCUUCUGGCUUGUCACAGACAUCACAGGGCACUCCAGCAAUGCCUGUGGUUUCUCCUACAGUGUACACUAAAGAGAUUGAUCUGUUCUAGCCUAGUGAGUCUCAUGGGAAGUCCUUCUCCACCAACUAAGAAGGAAGUCUUUGUGUUGUAGUGAACAGUUGGUGGCUGAAGGCAUUGCAUGGGUGUGGCUGUGUGCUUGUGGCUCUAAGAAGGGUUAGAGUGAUGCCCAUUGGGCAGCACACUCACACAGCAUGCUCAGUCGUGUGGCUCUUCCUUCUGGGUUUCCAUAUUCAUCUAUAUGUAGGCUUUAUCUAGGAUUCCUGUGAUGUCCAUUCAAUGCCUAACUCCUUGUACAUGACAUGCAGUGAUCCUCCCGAAGCACCAGUCUCACUCUAAUGACUGUACCUGGAACAAGCUAUCAGAUCAAUGGCACAAAUACUCAGUAGUUGUUAGUUUGCUUGAGUUUUCUUCCAAGAAGCUGACAUGAUUCCCUAUUAUAACUGCAUUCUCAGUUUUUUCUAUCUUAAGAGGAAUUUGUCAUAAGACAACUGUAGUCCCUCAGGACACGCAGAGACCUCCAGUCUCUAAGGCUACAUCUACAAAAGCAACUGAAAUAAAAGCAAAAGACAUACCGGAGAAUAAUGAGACUAUGGAGUCGGUGGAAGAAAGAAAACAGAGACGCAUUUCUGCACUAUUAAAAAGAGUUGAAGAGAAGCAAGCUAUGGCCCCUCCAGAGGUUUGUGGACCACAAGUCUGUAACAUUCCUUCGCCUAAAACAAAUGUCAGGCAUGAUAAAGAGAAUGCCACUGCAGCUUCACCACUGAGCAAAGACCAUACAUCACAGUCUGUGACAAUGUUUCUUCAGUCUUUAGAAAAUUUUAUAGGACGGACUCAAGUCCCCCCCAGGCUCCGGAGAAACCUUCAGCCCUUAAAGGUGCAUCCAAAGAAACCCAACCAACUAUUAAAACAGGAAGUCAGUGUACACCUGAAAUUAAAGAAAUAUUUUGUAAAAAAGAAGAGUUUGAAUAUCAUGAUGAGGGGUCCUGGGAAGAAUACCAAAGCUGGGUUUUAGUUAAGGAGCAAGGAUCAUAGAUUUCCCACAUGGUAUCCAUGUUCCAGAUUCAAGACAAACCAUUGCUUCCACCCUGAUAGGGAGUUGUAUAGCCGAGGUGGGAGAUACAGAUAUGGAAAAAGAACAAAAUACUCUGGAUAGUACAGAGAAUUUUCCUGAAGCCAUAGAAGUCCAGCAGUGGGAAUUGAGAAAAACAUCGAACACUGUUGCUCCUGCUGUCAAUGUAUUAUUUUUAGCACCACCAACAUCUUCGGAUGACGAAGAGUAUUAUACACCCAUAAAAAGAAAGAAGAGGAGGAAAAAGAGGAGGCGCUAUUACUAAGCGAAAGCCUCCAUUAUUGCUCCAGCAGGCUGGUUCAGACCAUUCACCACUGGGGCAGGACCACCUGCUGUGCUGCUUCUCAUCUCUCUCCUUUGAUGUGACACUGCCUGCCCCCUGCCUGAGGCCACACCCGGUUCUCCAAGAUUUUCUGGAAUUAUCAGCAAACUGUGAACUUAGGAGUUUCUGCUAAAAGGCCAUUCUGACCCCUUAACAAGAAACUUGGAGUGACUGGGGGUGGGCUUCCCUCUUUAUAAAGUACAGGCAUUAUUAAACAUUUGAGCCUUGAUCAG